rnacentral:tRNA from 1 species
GGGGUAAUAGUUAAUUAUAACAUUUAAUUUGCAUUUAAAAAGUAUUGAACUUUCAAUUUACCUUA